rnacentral:lncRNA from 1 species
CAGUUGCUGAGGCUGGCCUCAAACGUGCGAUCCUCCUUCCUCAGCCUCCCGAGCACAAGGAUUACAGGUGUGCGCCACGGCACCCAGCUACGUGCCCCGCAAUUCUCCAACAUGAAAUGUGCCCCCACGCCCAGGACCGCGGGAAGGGCGGAUGAGCCUCCUGACUGUGUGUCCUGGUCCUUUAAAACGCUACGACGUUAUUUCUCCCAGUCUCCAAACUGGGGAUACUGAGGCUCCCAGAGAACUAGAGACUUGCCCAGGGA